AUCUCAACCACAGAACUUGUAUGGAAAUCAGCUCCUGUAGAUAGCUCUUCCUCUGCACAAAAAGGAAUCCGCUUUGACAAACAGAAACCAUAACGUGCAAAAACAAAAAAUAAUAAAAUGGACAAUUUGAAGUAGUUCAAGCAGAUGCUUCGAACACUUUUAAGUGUGUCAACAGAUGCUGUGGCUUACAGGUCGAGCCCAGUCGAGAAUUGAUCCCCAGCUUUCCCCAGCCCACAUAUCUGUGUGACCUUUUUACUACAUCCCUGACAUAUAUAUCUUUACCCUACAUACAACAGCAGAAAAGCGCUGAUAACAUCAGAGGAAGACUGUACUCUGAACCGAUUAGGUAUGAAAUGGACUAUUGUUGAACCUGAAUAAAAAAAAGGUUACUCCCACAUGCGGUAUGAUGAUUGUCUGCAGUUAGAAGAAUGGACUUUAUAAAGGUAACAGCAGGUGAGUGGAGCAAGGCCUUACCUUGUCCAACAGUGUGUUUUGCCACAUGCGGAAAAUACCCUGGUAGCUUUUCUCUCUUGAAGAGAAGGAAGUGAAGAAGAACUGCAAGUAAAGAUACAAAGAGGUGUACAGUAAUCAGUUUAUCAAAUGUGAAAUAAACUCUGUUCUCCUCGAAA